rnacentral:piRNA from 1 species
UCAGUGUUCAGCAAAGGAUGUGGACUGA